rnacentral:rRNA from 1 species
AAUCAUGGCUCAGGAUGAACGCUAGCUACAGGCUUAACACAUGCAAGUCGAGGGGCAGCAUGACGAUAGCUUGCUAUUGUUGAUGGCGACCGGCGCACGGGUGAGUAACGCGUAUCCAACCUUCCCGUUGCUAGGGGAUAACCUUGCGAAAGUAAGACUAAUACCCUAUGAAGUUCUUCGCAGGCAUCUAAAGAGAACGAAAGAUUUAUCGGCAACGGAUGGGGAUGCGUCUGAUUAGGUUG